rnacentral:rRNA from 1 species
CCUACGGGCGGCAGCAGUGGGGAAUAUUGGACAAUGGGCGAAAGCCUGAUCCAGCCAUGCCGCGUGUGUGAAGAAGGCCUUCGGGUUGUAAAGCACUUUCAGUGGGGAAGAAAGCCUUGGGGCUAAUACCCUCGAGGUAGGACAUCACCCACAGAAGAAGCACCGGCUAACUCCGUGCCAGCAGCCGCGGUAAUACGGAGGGUGCGAGCGUUAAUCGGAAUUACUGGGCGUAAAGCGCGCGUAGGCGGUCUGAUAAGCCGGUUGUGAAAGCCCCGGGCUCAACCUGGGAACGGCAUCCGGAACUGUCAGGCUAGAGUGCAGGAGAGGAAGGUAGAAUUCCCGGUGUAGCGGUGAAAUGCGUAGAGAUCGGGAGGAAUACCAGUGGCGAAGGCGGCCUUCUGGACUGACACUGACGCUGAGGUGCGAAAGCGUGGGUAGCAAACAGGAUUAGAUACCCGAGUAGUC